rnacentral:rRNA from 1 species
UUAUGCGAUUUAUCUGUGUGAAUUGCAGAAUCCCGUGAACCAUCGAGUCUUUGAACGCAAGUUGCGCCCGAUGCCAUUAGGUUGAGGGCACGUCUGCCUGGGUGUCACAUAUCGAAGCCUCCUGCCAAUUUCCUUUUGAUAGGAAUUGUGCAGGGUGGAUGUUGGCCUCCCGUGAGCUCUUUCGUCUCAUGGUUGGUUGAAAAUUGAGACCUUGGUAGGGUGUGCCAUGAUAAAUGGUGGUUGUGUGACCCACGAGACCAAUCAUGCGCCGCUCAAUUGAAUUUGGCCUCUUUUACCCGUAUGCGUUUCUAAACGCUCGUGAUGAGACCUCAGGUCAGGCGGGGCUACCCGCUGAAUUUAAGCAUAUCAAUAAGCGGAGGAAAAGAAACUAACAAGGAUUCCCUUAGUAACGGCGAGCGAACCGGGAUAAGCCCACCAUGAGAAUCGGUCGCCCUCGGCGUUCGAAUUGUAGUCUGAAAAAGCGUCAA